AGGAGCAUGUGGUUAAUUCGAUGAUACGCGAGGAACCUACCUGGGCUCGAACGUAAGAUGACUGUAGGUGAAAGCUUACAUCUCUUCGGAGCAUUUACGAGGUGCUGCAUGGUUGUCGUCAGCUCGUGCCGUGAGGUGUCGGGUUAACGUCCCAUAACGAGCGCAACCCCUACCUUUAGUUGCCAUCAGGUAAUGCUGGGGACUCUAAAGGAACUGCCUACGCAAGUAGUGAGGAAGGCGGGGAUGACGUCAAAUCAGCACGGCCCUUACGUCCAGGGCUACACACGUGCUACAAUGGCCGAUACAGAGGGCAGCUACCUGGUGACAGGAUGCAAAUCUCCAAAGUCGGUCUCAGUUCGGAUCGGAGUCUGCAACCCGACUCCAUGAAGUUGGAAUCGCUAGUAAUCGUGGAUCAGCAUGCCACGGUGAAUACGUUCCCGGGCCUU
rnacentral:rRNA from 1 species